rnacentral:tRNA from 1 species
GGCAACAUAGUUUUAAUAUAGGGAAUUCUUAUUUUACACGUAAGGGGUGGUUGUGAAAAGCCUGUUGCCA